ACAUAGGGUGCAAGCGUUGUCCGGAAUUAUUGGGCGUAAAGCGUCCGCAGGCGGUCUUACAAGUCUGUCGUUAAAGCGUGGAGCUUAACUCCAUUUCAGCGAUGGAAACUGUAAGACUAGAGUGUGGUAGGGGCAGAGGGAAUUCCCGGUGUAGCGGUGAAAUGCGUAGAUAUCGGGAAGAACACCAGUGGCGAAGGCGCUCUGCUGGGCCAUAACUGACGCUCAUGGACGAAAGCCAGGGGAGCGAAAGGGAUUAGAUACCCCUGUAGUCCUGGCCGUAAACGAUGAACACUAGGUGUCGGGGGAAUCGACCCCCUCGGUGUCGUAGCCAACGCGUUAAGUGUUCCGCCUGGGGAGUACGCACGCAAGUGUG
rnacentral:rRNA from 1 species